GAUGAAGAACGUAGCGAAAUGCGAUAAGUAAUGCGAAUUGCAGAAUUCCGUGAGUCAUCGAAUCUUUGAACGCACAUUGCGCCCUCUGGUAUUCCGGAGGGCAUGCCUGUCUGAGCGUCAUUGUCAACCCUCAAGCUCAGCUUGCUGUUGGGUCCCCGUCGUUGCUUUAACGGCGGACCCGAAAGGUAAUGGCAGAGUCCGUGAGACCCUAGACGCAGCGAGAUUCUAGCACGCGUCUGGACGUUUUUCGGGCUCGGUCUUAACUAGAUGAUAACUUCCGAUUGACCUCAGAUCAGGUAGGGAUACCCGCUGAACUUAAGCAUAUCAAUAAGCGGAGGA
rnacentral:misc_RNA from 1 species